UUUGUUUUCAUUCUUGUAGACGUUAGAAGCUAUAGAUAUACACUGCUUUGGACAUUUGCUAUAUGAAAUGACAUACGGGAGACCUCCAGAUUCUAUUCCAGUGGAUAGCUUCCCUCCUGCACCAUCCAUGUCUAUAGUGACUGUUUUAGAAUCUGUUAUUUCUCCUGAGGCCAUGAAGAACGGAAUGCCAACUGUCUCCAGGCUGCUACAAAUGCCGUUAUUCAGUGAUGUUCUUCUAACAAAUUCAGAAAAAACACAAUUUAAGGUACAG